rnacentral:rRNA from 1 species
AGGAUGAACGCUGGCGGCGUGCCUAAAACAUGCAAGUCAUACGGGCUACCUUCGGGUAGCCAGUGGCAAACGGGUGAGUAACACGCGGGAACGCGCCUUGGGGUGGGAAUAACGCUGAGAAAUCAGUGCUAAUACCGCAUACGGUCUAACGACUAAAGCAGCAAUGCGCCCCGAGAGCGGCCCGCGACCGAUUAGCUAGUUGGUGGGGUAAUGGCCUACCAAGGCGGUGAUCGGUAGCUGGUCUGAGAGGAUGGUCAGCCACACUGGGACUGCGAACGGCCCAGACUCCUACGGGAGGCAGCAGUUAGGAAUUUUCGGCAAUGGACGAAAGUCUGACCGAGCGACGCCGCGUGGAGGAUGACGCCUUUCGGGGUGUAAACUCCUUUUCUGCGGGAAGAUAAUGACGGUACCGCAGGAAUAAGCACCGGCUAACUACGUGCCAGCAGCCGC